rnacentral:rRNA from 1 species
UACAGAGGUCUCAAGCGUUGUUCGGAUUCAUUGGGCGUAAAGGGUGUGUAGGUGGCGCCGUAAGUCGGGUGUGAAAUUUCGGAGCUUAACUCCGAAACUGCAUUCGAUACUGCGGUGCUUGAGGACUGGAGAGGAGACUGGAAUUUACGGUGUAGCGGUGAAAUGCGUAGAUAUCGUAAGGAAGACCAGUGGCGAAGGCGGGUCUCUGGACAGUUCCUGACGCUGAGGCAACGGAAGGCCAGGGGAGCAAACGGG